GAAUGCUGACAUAAGUAACGAUAAAGCGGGUGAAAAGCCCGCUCGCCGGAAGACCAAGGGUUCCUGUCCAACGUUAAUCGGGGCAGGGUGAGUCGACCCCUAAGGCGAGGCCGAAAGGCGUAGUCGAUGGGAAACGGGUUAAUAUUCCCGUACUUGGUGUUACUGCGAAGGGGGGACGGAGAAGGCUAUGUUGGCCGGGCGACGGUUGUCCCGGUUUAAGCGUGUAGGUGUGUGUUCCAGGUAAAUCCGGUUCACUUUAACACUGAGGCGUGACGACGAGGCACUACGGUGCUGAAGCAACAAAUGCCCUGCUUCCAGGAAAAGCCUCUAAGCAUCAGGUAACAUCAAAUCGUACCCCAAACCGACACAGGUGGUCAGGUAGAGAAUACCAAGGCGCUUGAGAGAACUCGGGUGAAGGAACUAGGCAAAAUGGUGCCGUAACUUCGGGAGAAGGCACGCUGACACGUAGGUGAAGUGAUUUACUCAUGGAGCUGAAGUCAGUCGAAGAUACCAGCUGGCUGCAACUGUUUAUUAAAAACACAGCACUGUGCAAACACGAAAGUGGACGUAUACGGUGUGACGCCUGCCCGGUGCCGGAAGGUUAAUUGAUGGGGUCAGCGCAAGCGAAGCUCCUGAUCGAAGCCCCGGUAAACGGCGGCCGUAACUAUAACGGUCCUAAGGUAGCGAAAUUCCUUGUCGGGUAAGUUCCGACCUGCACGAAUGGCGUAAUGAUGGCCAGGCUGUCUCCACCCGAGACUCAGUGAAAUUGAACUCGCUGUGAAGAUGCAGUGUACCCGCGGCAAGACGGAAAGACCCCGUGAACCUUUACUAUAGCUUGACACUGAACAUUGAGCCUUGAUGUGUAGGAUAGGUGGGAGGCUUUGAAGUGUGGACGCCAGUCUGCAUGGAGCCGACCUUGAAAUACCACCCUUUAAUGUUUGAUGUUCUAACGUGGACCCGUUACCCGGGUUGCGGACAGUGUCUGGUGGGUAGUUUGACUGGGGCGGUCUCCUCCUAAAGAGUAACGGAGGAGCACGAAGGUUGGCUAAUCCUGGUCGGACAUCAGGAGGUUAGUGCAAUGGCAUAAGCCAGCUUGACUGCGAGCGUGACGGCGCGAGCAGGUGCGAAAGCAGGUCAUAGUGAUCCGGUGGUUCUGAAUGGAAGGGCCAUCGCUCAACGGAUAAAAGGUACUCCGGGGAUAACAGGCUGAUACCGCCCAAGAGUUCAUAUCGACGGCGGUGUUUGGCACCUCGAUGUCGGCUCAUCACAUCCUGGGGCUGAAGUAGGUCCCAAGGGUAUGGCUGUUCGCCAUUUAAAGUGGUACGCGAGCUGGGUUUAGAACGUCGUGAGACAGUUCGGUCCCUAUCUGCCGUGGGCGCUGGAGAACUGAGGGGGGCUGCUCCUAGUACGAGAGGACCGGAGUGGACGCAUCACUGGUGUUCGGGUUGUCAUGCCAAUGGCACUGCCCGGUAGCUAAAUGCGGAAGAGAUAAGUGCUGAAAGCAUCUAAGCACGAAACUUGCCCCGAGAUGAGUUCUCCCUGAGACUUAAAGUCUCCUGAAGGAACGUUGAAGACGACGACGUUGAUAGGCCGGGUGUGUAAGCGCA
rnacentral:rRNA from 2 species